CUGCCUUCCUACCUCAGGGCAUUCUGGAACGUUCCAGGCUGGGACUACAUCCUUGGCCCAUUCCGAGUGCUACCCCAGUGACGAGGAAGAUGAGCUGUUUGAAAAGGAAACUCUCCAACACGACAUAGAAAAAGCUCCUUUACAAGGAGCCAGGGCCAGGCGCACGCUCUGCUCCUUCCGUCAGGCGAGAGGGCGCACUGGGUCCCUGCAGCUGCUGUCACCAAUUACCACCACCUUAGAGGCUUGAGACAGCGGACAUUUAGUCUCUCUGCUCUGGAGGCUGAAAGUCUGAAGUCAGCGUCGGCAGCCCACGUCGCUCUCAAUGACUCAUGGAAGACUCUGCACAGACAUUAUCUCACUGGAUCCUCACAGCAGUCCUGGGAUGGCAGCGUCACCCUUCCCGUUUUACAGACGAGCCCGACUUUCACAGACGCUAAGGAGCCAGCCCGAGGUCAGCGGAGUGGUUGGCUGCAGGGUCAUUUCGAUUUCCACUGUCCUCCCACCCUCCGCUCUUCCCUCCUGGGUCUGACGUGGCCGUUGAGCGUGCAUCGUAUCUCUGCUUAAGCAUCUGCUGUGUCCCAAAGACAAGAACAAAGGGCCUUAAGAUAAAGGACUGAACUAGGCUCCCUUUUCCUGAUGGCAGAGCGAGCUGAGUGCACCCAAACCCACGAGGGAAUCAGGAACGUUCCUGCAUCACUGGGCCUCGUCUGCAGCUGGUCCUGACCUGAUGUCCGGGGAGUUUGUCACAUCUUCACGUGGACGACAAAGCAGGAUAAGGCUCCAUUUCUGUCUGGAUUCUAGUCUGAGGCACGGAGAAGUCUCAUGCUUCAAAAAUGCAUGCGAAAAUGCAGCAAGCGUGCAUUUCACCCCCGGCGGAACCUCCUGAGUUACCGCGAGUGAUUGCACACGAGGAGGAGGUGCUGGGGAGAAGCGGCGUCGUCCUGUCACAGGCUGUGAACCAACGUGGCUCCCUGCCCUGCACCAGGCGCCCUGGGAACCACCCCCCCCAUCCUUCCAUCCUUCGCUCCUGCUCCACACCGCCCCCUGGUGCCGGCCGCCUCUCCUCCAGCUCCAUCCUCAGCAUCUCAGGCCACCCCUGAGAGCAGCAGCGGCCACAGGUGUCCCGAGGUCCUUGGAGACGGUUGUGCACACACGACUGGCUCAGGCACCCCCCUGUCCCUGUGUGUCUUUGAAUGUGUUUCAGGGCGUCUCUGAGCCCUUGGAACGGGUGUGUGUGAAAACUUAUGACUUCCAAAACGAUAUGUGUGAAUGUCACGGAUUUCAAAAGUUCUCAGAGGAAGUUCUAAACCUCCCCAAAAGUAAAGAACCUCUUAGAUCCUCGAGGGGGCUCUAGACGGCAGGGAGAUCUCACCUUAAGAAAGACACCCAUUUUCAAACAGCUGCAUCGGGUUAUAGCCUGUGUGUCACACAGCACUGCUGUCAGAUCGGCUGCGUUUGCUCCAGCCCUGGAACGGACCAGAGGACCUCGUGUGAAGGAGGCA
rnacentral:lncRNA from 1 species